CGAGUCUAACUGCUGCUCAGUUAGCAGCGGUUAGUGACAAUUAGCAACGGGUAAAUGCGAUUUUUUCCGGUUAGCAGAGGAAGUGUUAUUCCCCUUGGGUUGGACUAGAAACUCAUAACCAUUCCGUUUAUUUCCAAUAUAUUCUUUGUUCUACAGUUUUCUGAGUUUAAGUCAGAUUUUUUAGGCGGAUAAUGAGACUUCCGCCUCUAACUGCACCACCACCCUAAUGCCCCCCCCCCCUACUGCAGUCUGUGACUCACCGCAAACCAACAAAAAGUUGCCCACACAGCCUUAUCAGUCGAAAACCAACUGCUGCCGCCAAAAGCCAGCGGGUAUCAGUUGUGGCAACGGCGUGCGUGACUACAGUGACAGUGAAAACGAUCGAAACAUUCCCAGCGUGGAAGACAAUUUCGGUGCUGUGAGUGAGAAUACUACAGCUCUCAUCGUGGCAUUCGGCGCGGUAUAACGGCCGGGUGGGUAUAACGGCCAAUUAACGAUCGGGAGAUGUUGGCACGCAGCGACGUGAAGGGAACGCCAGAUAAAGAAUAAUGUACUUUUUAUUACGCCGUGGUGAACAUGCUUCCACAUAGUUUUACAGAUCAAAUAAAGAAUUGUGACAGUGCAGGGCCAUAGAAAUAAAACACACAGAGAAAAUAAAAAACACAGUUUUCGGAAAAGUU